UGGCUCUCGCAUCGAUGAAGAACGCAGCGAAAUGCGAUAAGUAAUGUGAAUUGCAGAAUUCAGUGAAUCAUCGAAUCUUUGAACGCACCUUGCGCUCCUUGGUAUUCCGAGGAGCAUGCCUGUUUGAGUGUCUCGAAUUCAUCAACCCUCCCGUCUUUGCUGACGGGCCAGGGCUGGACGUGGGGGCAUGCGACCGCGAGGCCGCUCCCCUCAAAUGCGUCGGUUGGACCUGUGGGUCGGACUCGACCGGGCGUUGUACCAUCCUCGCUCCGAAGAGAAGUUCCCCGUCUUAGCGUCCCUCCCCGACCUGCCGUCGUGCGGCGGUCAAAAUGAAAGGCGCGAGCCUUUUCGAAAUCUGACCUCAAAUCAGGUAGGACUACCCGCUGA
rnacentral:misc_RNA from 1 species